GUGCUCACUUUGGCAUCACAUAUGCUAAAAUUGUAACAAUUCAGAGAAUUAGCAUGGCUCCUACUCAAGUAUGACACACAGAUUCAUGAAGCAUUCCAUAUGUUU
ensembl:snRNA LOC120102590 U6 spliceosomal RNA